CCCUUAGAUGUUCUGGGCCGCACGCGUGCUACACUGAGUGGAUCAGCGGGUCAGGUUGCGCGAAAGUGUUUCCUAAUCUUUAAAUCCGCUCGUGAUGGGGAUUGACGGUUGCAAUUUUCCGUCAUGAACGAGGAAUACCUUGUAAGCGCGGGUCAUCAUCCCGCGCUGAAUACGUCCCUGCCCUUUGUACACGCCGCCCGUCGCUCCUACCGAUUGAGUGGUCCGGUGAGGCUUUGGGAUCUGAGCGGAAAGAGCGUUUCGCUGUUUCUGCUCGGAAAACUCAGUCGAACCUUAUCAUUUAGAGGAAGGAGAAGUCGUAACA
rnacentral:rRNA from 1 species